rnacentral:pre_miRNA from 1 species
CCUGGUUUCCGUGUCCAAUGUUUGACCAUCCGUCUUAUUUAAAAAAAUUAUGAAAAAAAUUAAAAAGACAAGUCACGCAUAAAAUAUUAAUCAUGUUUUAUCAUCUAGCAACAAUAAAAAUACGAAUUAUAAAAAAAUUUCAUAUAAGACGGAUGGUCAAAGUUGGACACGGAAACCCAGGGUUUGUCUUUCU